UUUCUCUGCACGAAUACCGAGAGAAGACGAACGGGUGUUCUUCGUGUUCUUCAUAUUCAAACGAGGAUUUGAAGGCGUUAUUGGAAUCCGAUGGAGGCGUAUAAAUAGUCAAAACGAAGCUCUCGACGCGUAGAAUCUAAUACAAUCAUCCGUUUAUGUGCAGAUUUGUCAGGUUUCCUAGAAGGAGAAUGGAGAGGAGAUCCAUAGCUACAAGUGAAAAAAAACGGCGAAGCAUUUGGAUAAACGAGGCGAAAGUUAUGAGCCGUGGAAGCACCAAAAGGAGCGGGGCUGCCAAAGUAGCAUGCCCAUGCUGCUACAGUAACCGGGUAGCGCGUCCACGCUACUCUGGACGGGAAAAAAAGCCCGUUUCUCUCGUUUUUGAUCUGUUUGAAGGCCCGUUUGCUGUGGAACUUAAAGGAAGGCUUGGGGGACCUAAAACAUAACCUAUAAACAUUCUAAGGAGCACAUGACGGCUACGAAGAAGAUCUAGACUCAUUGUUUUCACUUUUCAUCUUUGUAAUUCUUCGAAGUAGGCGUAACUUUGGAUGCUCGUUUGGGAUUUGUUUCAAAACUCUUGUUCUAUUACUUUUAUCUUGUUUAGACUUAUUCCUACCA